rnacentral:rRNA from 1 species
UGAUGUGAAAGCCCACGGCUCAACCGUGGAGGGUCAUUGGAAACUGUUAAACUUGAGUGCAGGAGAGAAAAGUGGAAUUCCUAGUGUAGCGGUGAAAUGCGUAGAGAUUAGGAGGAACACCAGUGGCGAAGGCGGCUUUUUGGCCUGUAACUGACACUGAGGCGCGAAAGCGUGGGGAGCAAACAGGAUUAGAUACCCUGGUAGUCCACGCCGUAAACGAUGAGUGCUAAGUGUUGGUCUCAUAAGAGAUCAGUGCUGCAGCUAACGCAUUAAGCACUCCGCCUGGGGAGUACGACCGCAAGGUUGAAACUCGAAGGAAUUGACGGGGACCCGCACAAGCGGUGGAGCAUGUGGUUUAAUUCGAAGCAACGCGAAGAACCUUACCAAGUCUUGACAUACUGUGAGGACACAAGAGAUUGUGUUGUUCUGACCUUUGGUUAGACACAGAUACAGGUGGUGCAUGGUUGUCGUCAGCUCGUGUCGUGAGAUGUUGGGUUAAGUCCCGCAACGAGCGCAACCCUUAUAUCUAGUUGCCAGCAGUAAGAUGGGGACUCUAGAUAGACUGCCAGUGAUAAACUGGAGGAAGGUGGGGAUGACGUCAAAUCAUCAUGCCCCUUAUGACUUGGGCUACACACGUGCUACAAUGGAUAGGAACAAAGAGAAGCGAGCUCGCGAGAGUAAGCAAACCUCACAAAACUAUUCUCAGUUCGGAUUGUAGUCUGCAACUCGACUACAUGAAGCUGGAAUCGCUAGUAAUCGCGAAUCAGAAUGUCGCGGUGAAUACGUUCCCGGGUCUUGUACACACCGCCCGUCACACCACGAGAGUUUGUAACACCCGAAGACGGUGGCCUAACCUUUUAGGAGGGAGCCGGUCACGGUGGGACAGAUGAUUGGGGUGAAGUCGUAACAAGGUAGCCGUAUCGGAAGG